rnacentral:rRNA from 1 species
CUGGCGGCGUGCCUAAUACAUGCAAGUCGAACGCACUCUCGUUUAGAUUGAAGGAGCUUGCUCCUGAUUGAUAACAUUUGAGUGAGUGGCGGACGGGUGAGUAACACGUGGGUAACCUGCCCUAAAGUGGGGGAUAACAUUUGGAAACAGAUGCUAAUACCGCAUAAAACCUAACACCGCAUGGUGUAGGGUUGAAAGAUGGUUUCGGCUAUCACUUUAGGAUGGACCCGCGGUGCAUUAGUUAGUUGGUGAGGUAAAGGCUCACCAAGACCGUGAUGCAUAGCCGACCUGAGAGGGUAAUCGGCCACACUGGGACUGAGACACGGCCCAGACUCCUACGGGAGGCAGCAGUAGGGAAUCUACCACAAUGGACGAAAGUCUGAUGGAGCAACGCCGCGUGAGUGAAGAAGGUUUUCGGAUCGUAAAACUCUGUUGUUGGAGAAGAAUGUAUCUGAUAGUAACUGAUCAGGUAGUGACGGUAUCCAACCAGAAAGCCACGGCUAACUACGUG